GGGUUAAAAAUAGUCUAGUUAGUCUUAGGAUAGUCUUAUUACUAGUAUUUAACACCCAACAUAAGCUAUUUUUACUACUACUACUACUACUACAACUACUACUAUUACAUCUGGGAGGGUUAAAAAUAGUCUAGUUAGUCCUAGGAUAGUCUUAUUACAUGUAUUCAACACCCAUCAUAAGCUAUUUCUACUACUACUACUACUACUACUACUGCUACUACAACUACUACUAUUACAUCUGGGAGGGUUAAAAAUAGUCUAGUUAGUCUUAGGAUCGUCUUAUUACUAGUAUUCAACACCCAACAUAAGCUAUUUUUACUACUACUACUACUACUACUACUAUUACAUCUGGGAGGGUUAAAAAAAUUUUUUUUUUUUUUUUUUUACGUUGAUUGCCUAUUGCGCCGGUAGACAUCUUCCCGGUGGGGCCUGAUGGUCGGCCCAAGGCUUCUUCCAGGUGGGGCCUGAUGGUCGGCCCAAGGCUUCUUCCAGGUGGGGCCUGAUGGUCGGCCCAAGGCUUCUUCCAGGUGGGGCCUGAUGGUCGGCCCAAGGCUUCUUCCAGGUGGGGCCUGAUGGUCGGCCCAAGGCUUCUUCCAGGUGGGGCCUGAUGGUCGGCCCAAGGCUUCUUCCAGGUGGGGCCUGAUGGUCGGCCCAAGGCUUCUUCCAGGUGGGGCCUGAUGGUCGGCCCAAGGCUUCUUCCAGGUGGGGCCUGAUGGUCGGCCCAAGGCUUCUUCCAGGUGGGGCCUGAUGGUCGGCCCAAGGCUUCUUCCAGGUGGGGCCUGAUGGUCGGCCCAAGGCUUCUUCCAGGUGGGGCCUGAUGGUCGGCCCAAGGCUUCUUCCAGGUGGGGCCUGAUGGUCGGCCCAAGGCUUCUUCCAGGUGGGGCCUGAUGGUCGGCCCAGCCCGUUCUGGCGCAGGCGAGUGUUUAUAGUGGCGCCAUCUUGCUAGUUAGUCUAGUUAGUCUUAGGAUCGUCUUAUUACUAGUAUUCAACAC